GACCUGGCGGUGAGUGUUCACACCCCCAACUCUUAGGGUGUUAUUUCGACACAUGUGUUGUGUGGGAGUUCUCGGUUCGAUUCCGGGCUGGGUCA